AUGGCCCUCUUCAACGAACUCUACUUGGGGGCCGUGGACCUUGGGCGCCUCAACUAUGGUGGCAUCAUUCUAAUCCCCAAAGUUCUGCGCGCCUCUGACAUCCGCCAGUUUCGAUCUAUCACCAUGAUCUACGUGAUUUUCUGGAUCCUGGUGAAAGGGUAUGCCAAUAGGGUGGCCCUUCUUGCUGACUCCGUCACCCACCCCGACCAGUCUGCCUUCAUUCAAGGGUGGUAUAUUCUGGAUGGGGUGCUAGUCUUCCACGAAGUCCUGCACAAGGUCCGGUCCAAGCACCACCGUGCGGUCUUCCUGAAGCUCGACUUCCAUAAAGCCUAUGAUACGAUCCAUUGGCCCUUCCUUCGAGAAGUCUUGCUCUGUAAGGGGCUUUGA
rnacentral:rRNA from 1 species